UCCACCUGCGCCCCUCCUCCGUCUUCCUCCCCUUCUCUUCACCCCCCGACAGCGAACUUGGAACUCGCAACCGAGAAGGGAGAACUCGUCGCGACGAGGAGAGACGAACCUGGGGUGGUCCCGAAUCAGAGGUGGAAGAAGGUGGGUUCAGGAGCAAGCCAGCCUGCCGCCACCAUGAGGCGCGGCUCGAGGAAAUCGUCGUCGUCUGCCGCGACCGCCAGCGCUGGUGUGGAACAAGUAAAUGAAAAACAAAACAGAAAAAGAAAAGGAGUCAGUACAAACCUGACCAGCAGGAAAGCACAACGUGGCCCUACUAAAGCAGUUUCCAAGGAAGUAGAACGGAUUGAUCAAUUUUUUUAUACUUAUGCCGAUAACUCAUCUGGCAUGAUUGACCCAGAAGGCAUUGAAACACUCUGUUCUCACCUUGAAGUUCCCCACACCGAUGUUAGGAUUCUAAUGUUAGCAUGGAAAAUGGGCUGUGAGAAGCAAGGUUAUUUUACCUUGGAUGAAUGGAGAACUGGCUUGAAAGCUCUUCGAGCUGACAGUAUCAGUAAACUUAAGAAAGCAUUUCCAGAACUGGUUCAAGAGGUUACAAGGCCAUCCAAUUUCCAGGAUUUCUACAUAUAUGCAUUUCGUUAUUGCCUCACAGAGGAUAAGAAGAAGUGUAUAGAAAUACCAGUUGCUUGUGAGUUGCUGAAUCUAGUAUUAGGCUUGCAGUUCCGCCCUCAGGUUGACAAGCUUAAUAAUUACCUAAAGUACCAAAAUGACUACAAGGUGAUAAACAUGGACCAAUGGAUGGGAUUUAUUCGGUUCUGUAAUGAGAUAAACUUCCCAUCACUUGACAAUUAUGAUUCAGACCUUGCUUGGCCUUUGAUUCUAGACAAUUUUGUUGAGUGGCUGCGAGAAAAUAAAAGCUAGAUCUUCUAUUCCUGCGGUGGUGAAGAUGUCAUCCAAAAUGUAAUAUUCAAGAAUGUAGGUGACUAUAUAUACCAUUGUUUACAUUUUUUCAGCACCCUGGAGGCCUUAGAGGAUGCAGAUUCGGCUUGUUUCCGAUUGCUUCGGUGGAGGCUGCUCCCAGAAAUUAUAUCAAGCCUUCUCGUGUCACCUUUUGAUUUUGCACAUUUUUUAAACUGGGAACGGUCUGCAUCUGUCUGGAAAUUUUGCAUCAGCAUGCUAUAUUUAAUGGCCAUGUCGUGUUAAAUCAGUCUUGGUAUAGUAUUUUAUAAGAGCUUGCAAGUUGCAAAUAUUUCCAUUGGUUAUGUAAAAAAAAGGGAAGAAACUAGCAACGGGCCCGAUCUCUGAUUUCUCGCGGGGAAUUCUCCUAUUAGGGGAGGGGGAUGAGAGUAAAUUAUCCCCCAUGGCCAUGGGGAUUAGUUUGGUAGAAUUUCUAUCCUGUCGGUAGGGAUGAAAACGGAUUGUAUACGGACGAAUAUCAUCGAUAUCAUAUUUGUUUUCAUAUUUUUA